CAACAACUCACACAACCGCUGACGUCAGCAUGACGUCAUCUCAAAACGACGUCGUUUUGAUAAUUAAAAAAAAAAAAAAAAAAGGUCGCUGAACAGAUCAGUCGCCCUUUCCCUUUUCACGAUCAGAAUACAUACAAGAGGUGUGAAAGGAGAGCUCCCACCACCACCACCCGCAACCAGCACAACCCGAACCCCAUCGCCGCCCCCUCGUCGGUGACCGCCAGCACCACCGGCCUCGGGGUACCCGGCGCUGUUAUCUCCACCACGAAGGUGUUCUCUCUCUCGAGACCGUUGUUACACUUUCUCCAACAAAAUCGAAUCGAAUGAAACUUGAAGAGGUUUGUAAGCAAAAUGCACGUGUUAGUAACGAUUGUGUGGCCUGUGCCUCGCUUAAGCAUUUCUUUGUAUUCCUACAGAUACUCUUUUCAACAUAGCAAAACAUGUGCCAGUGUGUUGUCAAUGGCGACAAAAUUAGGCAGUACCACCACUGGCAGCAAUGUAUACUCUGCUUGCCAAAUCAGCUACAGCUCCAUCAUCAGAUUCCAUCAACAUUAUUGACCUUCCCUCAACAGUAGAGAAGGUACAACUCAUAAAUGUCAAGGGCAUAGCAAGAGUCACUAAUUUCAAUCAGCGGUUCCACUACUUAUCUUGCUCAAUCUACAACAAAGCAUCAAAUGCAUACAAAAAUUCAGAGCUUUGGUGCAAUUACUGCGCACGCCGAGUUCCAGCACCAGCAAGGUAAAAAAACACGACACAUGCCGUUGAAGUUUCUACAAUGACAAGAAAAAGACGAUAGGAAACUUGGACAUUGAAAGAGCUCGAGGAGAAAGAACAGCUAGUGCUUACAGCCAACAAAGAAACUUGGCAGUUCAACCACUUCAAGAUGCCACAUGCCGUUGAAAGAGAUUGAAGCUAUUCAAGUGAAUCAAAGGCCAAGAAAAUGAUAAAUUGUUGUAAUUUGAAAUAUGUAAACACGUAUUUUGUUGGAAUAUCAAGUUUUAGUUUUGCAAAAUCUUACUUCGAUUGUAGCCUAUUUGUGUGACUAUAUUGUUUUACGGUUUUUGUUGGGAAUGAAUAAUUUGGCAAUGAAUGUGGCUUGUGAAUGGUGAUUUAGAAUAAGAAAUGUCUGGGGUGGGCUAGUGCUUAAUCUCAUGUUGUUUCUAUUGUUGUUAUUGCUGUAUUGAUUGAGACGCGAGACGUCGGGUUAGGACCAAACAACA